rnacentral:lncRNA from 1 species
CACAAAAACCUGAUUAAUUCAUUUAAUUAACAAAAUAAAAAAAAGGCUAAAAAGCAGAAGACAGCAAUCAACAUAUAACAAUUAACCCAGACAAAGAAGCAACAAUCAACAUAAUCAAAUCCCAAAAAACAGCAAUUAAUUUCCAAAAAUGAUAAGUGAAGCAGGGUAGGGAUCUGUUUACAAACUCAGACAUUCAUAAACUCAAGCUAAACAGAAAUUAGCAAACUCAGAAUCAGAAAUCAGAAACCAAAUAAAAGUACAAAUACAAGCAAAAUUAAAUUGAAGACUGGCAGCCGCGAAGGAGGAAUCUAAGUGACGGUGAUGGAAGAGGGGAAGUGAGCUCGGGCUCAGAGGGGAUUGAAGACAGGCUUGAUGUGUGAGAGAGAACCUGGAGGAAGUGACCUCAUCAAGAAACUUAGCAGAAAAAGAGAGAACCUGGAGAAAUAAGGGAAGAAGCUCGACUGCUCGAGCGUUCCACAGAGGUGAAAGAAAGGUCCCGGUGAGAGGAGGUGACGGCUGAGCAGUGGAACAGAGGUGACGAUGGAGAGACGUUCGCGGUGAGAGUGAGACGAGACGCGACGGCGGGAGAAGAGCUCCGCAACGGCCGAGCAAUGGAACAGAGGUGACGACGGAGAGACGUUCGCGGUGAGAGUGAGACGAGACGCGACGGCGAGGAGAAGAGCUCUGCGACGGCGAGGAGAAGAGCUCUGCUGGCGUUAACGCUGCUGCUGGUUGUUGCUGCUGAAGUGUUGAAGAUUGAAUUUGGGGUUUGGCUUCAUUACUUCUGAUUUAGGGUUAAAUGGGUUAAAAUAGGGUUGAGAUUGAGAGAGGGGGAUUGGGAAUCUGUUUCCUUUAUAUUAAAAAAAAAAAACUAAAUGGGUAAAAUGGCGCCGUUUGGG